UCGCUCCUACCGAUUGAGUGUUACGGUGCAUAAUUCGGACUGCAGCUUCGUUUGGGUCCCGAACGUUGCAGCGGAAAGUCUGGUGAACCUUAACACUUAGAGGAAGGAG
rnacentral:rRNA from 1 species